GCUGAAUGUGGGGAUAAUUUAUCUCCGUGUUGAAGCUAACGCGUUAAGCACUCCGCCUGGGGACUACGGUCGCAAGACUAAAACUCAAAGGAAUUGACGGGGACCCGCACAAGCGGUGGAGCAUGUGGUUUAAUUCGAUGCAACGCGAAAAACCUUACCACUCCUUGACAUGGAGAUUAGAUCCUUCUUAACGGAAGGGCGCAGUUCGGCUGGGUCUCGCACAGGUGCUGCAUGGCUGUCGUCAGCUCGUGUCGUGAGAUGUUGGGUUAAGUCCCGCAACGAGCGUAACCCUCAUCCUUAGUUGCCAGCGGAUAAUGCCGGGUACUUUAAGGAAACUGCCGGUGGUAAACCGGAGGAAGGUGGGGAUGAUGUCAAGUCAGCACGGCCCUUAUGGGGUGGGCUACACACGUGCUACAAUGGUGACUACAAUAGGUUGCAACGCCGCAAGGCUGAGCUAAUCCAUAAAAGUCAUCUCAGUUCGGAUUGUCCUCUGUAACUCGAGGGCAUGAAGUCGGAAUCGCUAGUAAUCGUGGAUCAGCAUGCCACGGUGAAUACGUUCUCGGGUCUUGUACACACUGCCCGUCACGCCAUGGGAAUUGGCUUAACUCGAAGCUGGUGCGCUAACCGAAAGAAAACAAGCCAU
rnacentral:rRNA from 1 species